rnacentral:rRNA from 1 species
AUGAACGCUGGCGGCGUGCCUAAUACAUGCAAGUCGAGCGAACAGACGAGGAGCUUGCUCCUCUGACGUUAGCGGCGGACGGGUGAGUAACACGUGGAUAACCUACCUAUAAGACUGGGAUAACUUCGGGAAACCGGAGCUAAUACCGGAUAAUAUAUUGAACCGCAUGGUUCAAUAGUGAAAGACGGUUUUGCUGUCACUUAUAGAUGGAUCCGCGCCGCAUUAGCUAGUUGGUAAGGUAACGGCUUACCAAGGCAACGAUGCGUAGCCGACCUGAGAGGAUGAGAAGUCACACUGGAAGUGAGACACGGUCCAGGCUCCUACGGGAGGCAGCAGUGGGGAAUGUUGGGAAAUGGGCGAAAGCCUGAUACAGCCAUGCCGCGUGGGUGAAGAAGGUCUUCGGAUUGUAAAGCACUUUAAGUUGGGAGGAAGGGCAGUAAGUUAAGACCUUGCGGUUUUGACGUUACCAACAGAAUAAGCACCGGCUAACUUCGUG